UUCUGCUCUAUCAGUUGAUGACACAUAUGUUCCCAAAGAAUUCCAUGCUGAUACAUUCACCUUCCAUGCAGACAUAUGCACACUUCCAGAGACUGAGCAACAAAUCAAGAAACAAACAGCACUUGCUGAGCUGGUGAAACACAAGCCCACGGCAACAAUUGAUCAACUGAAAACCGUGAUGGGGGAUUUCGUAGCUUUUCUAGACAAGUGCUGCAAGGCUGACGACAAGGAUACCUGCUUCUCCCAGGAGGGUCCCAAAUUUGUUGCUGCAAGUCAAGCGGCCUUAGCAUAAAAACAUCACAAUCACAAGGAUCUCAGCCUGUCCAGAGAAGAAGAGAAAGAGACUAAGACUUUAUCCAUCUGUUUGUCUUUUCUGUUGGUGUAAAAUCAACACUCUAA